UUGGGUAGAGAACAUUGAGAAAAGAAAGAAAAACAAAGGGUAGGUUUACCCUCUUGUAUAGGCAUUCCGUCACCCGUAUCCAAUAGCGAGGACGGGAUGCCUUAAAUACUGUACCGCAAACCAUAAAAAAAAAAACACCUACGGGAAUAGAAGGUUAUGUUGUCGUAUCGGUUCGGAAAUACUGCUGCUGGAAGUUGAUUCCAAAGAGUGGUUGUGCGUGGAAAGGGCCUUGAAAAACGCACAAUGGAAGACUACAACUCGUCCAAAUGGUAGGAAAAUAGUUUGAAACAUAUAUUUUGAAACUGUGGUAACUUAGUUAUAAUAUUGAUCGUUUACUUGUAUUAUAUUUACUAUAUUGUAACACAUGACGUGUCAAAAAUGGCUAAUAAAAUAAAUAUGAAAUGUAUAA